GCUAUGCUGCUCCGGGCAAUGCACUGUCACUGCUUCAAAGGAAAAUGGCGAUGUAAGGGCUCAGGUGCCCGGAUCCCGGGCUCUCCUGGAAUGAUUUCAGCACAACUGGUAUCACCGUCAUUGGGCGGGCGACUGCAAGAGGAGCCAAGCCAGCCGCUGAUUGUCAAGGGAAGCCGCUUGCUUGCCUCGUUCUCUGCGGUGGCAGAUCCCUUCUGCCCCCAUAUUGGGGAGGAGGUUACCUAAUCCCAGGUAAAGCCCCAGGGCACCCCGUUACUCCAGGGGGAGGGAGGAUGGAUGCUUUUCAGCAGAGACAUGACGCACAGAAGAAUCCGCAACGCCUGGCAGCGGCUCACGUACACACUGGAGGCGGGGACUGAGCGAGGAGAGACUGGUCCAUGCAAACUAGCAUUCUCGUGCGCACUAGGGAAAGGAGGUGGGCAGAGACUGGAUGGGGAGACAGGACAGGUCCCCCGCACCCCAAACACACAGCCUCACUCCCCUUCCCCUUGAUAGGUUUCUCCUUAGACAUUCAUUGAGGGAAGUGGGGGGAAACUAGUCCCCGCCCCUCCAAACCCUUAUGCACCCAGAGGGGGGUCUCUCUUCUCACAAGUCCCUCCACCCACAAGCGCAUUUACAGGAGCCAUACUUCUCUCUUCACCCCCACGCACGUGAAAGACUGGCGAGGAGGCCCGGUCCCCAGCCCCAAUGCACAGGACAACACAGAUUGUCCCCUGCCUCGCGCCCCACGCUGCUGAUACACUCCCGAGCUGCAGCGAAACUGGCAGCUACUGGAUUAAACUUCUUCCCAACGCACCCCCGGAGCUGCGGGAAAACUAAUGUCACCGCCGAGGAGGCGGCUCCGGGGAAUGAUGGCAGCGUUGCACAUUAACAAGAUAAUUCUCCUUCUGGCUAAGGGCAUCGAGAGCCUUUGUUGUUUAAUACUGCCCCGUUUACCCAUCUAGAAUCUGCGCCUUGACCAACCCAAGAUAGAAUUGUUAAUAACAGACGCAACUUAAUUCGGGGACAAGGGGGAGGGGGCCUGAGAAGGGAUCUCUCGUGACCAGAACUUGCUACUGUGUGACUGGAAACUUACCCUGGCAGCCCCACAGUGUGUUAAUGUACUGAGCAGUAAUGAAGUUACAGUGAUGGAUUUUCCUCGACUAUCACAUUUGCUGCAACAUGUGAUGCAGCUGGCCAGCAGAGUUUGAGGAAAGAGAUCUUUAAUAAGCAUGAUGAGAGACCAGUGUUACAUGCUGAGGUCUAUGUGAUGGCAGCCUGGCCCCAGCUUGUAUUCCCAAGCCUUUGCUAUCUCAAACUAGCUCCCUCCUGAAACCUAUCCUUCUCCAGUUCCUCAUCAACUAAAGGACUUAAUGCGUUUUAAAUAUUAGGCUACCAAAAUAUAAAUACACACUUAUUCUAUAAGAAGCAUGUAUGCAACUAUGGAAAUGGGAAAAGAAAGUAUGUUAAACAUGCUGUAUUGCCAGAGUUCCCCUUAUUUUAUUUGGAAGCUUUUGGUUUGUGAUGUCUCUUAAAGUUUACUGUAAUAAUUUAUUGUUCUACAAUGUAUUUGUGUGCUAUUAAAUGAAUUAUUAUGCAAGAAUAUUUUAAAUUUGAGCAGACUGAGUAGGAGUCAGCUGCAAAUGAACUUAAUAGACUUAAUAGGUGGGUUUCUAUAAAUAAUAGAAGAGAAGACAACAAAAAAUACAGAUCGGAUUUGGAUGGCUUGAGACAAAAUUAUCUGAGGAAUCUUUGAAUGUGGGGGAUCUCUUUCAGAAAUCAAGAACUCCAAAAAUAUGAGACAGGUGCCAUAUAAUUCUUAUUAUACUGCCCAAGUGGUGCCGCCUGUAUCCUCAUUAUUAAUCCCAAUGUCAGUGCAUUGGAGAUCAAAAUACUGAUUCAACAGGAAGAAACACAUUAAACCCCAUUAAUGCCUGUCUUUAAAAUUUUGAAAGGAAUCUUGAGAAUAAGAAGCGGUGGUUAAAACAAGCUCCUAUGCACUUCGCCAAUAAUGUAAAUGGAGCAGUUAGAAUUGAGCCAUUUUAAUUUAAAUCUACUAGAAAUCUGGAGCAAGUUCUCAUUUUCAUCAAUGGAGCUGAAAAAUUUAGCCAUAGCAUUCGCAUUCAUUGAACAGUCUCAACUGGAAAAUCCAUAGGGUUACUCAAAAUGGAGCCUAGACCCCAAAAGAAAGUCUAUUGGCAAGUGGUUAAAAUACUGGGAGAUAUGUGCAAAGCCAUGUAUUUUUACUCUCGUUUAGUGAUUAUGAAAUGCUUUUAUUUUAACAGCUUCAUCCAAGAAGCAUUUAAAAGAGAGGAAGGAAGACAAUACCUCUCAUAAAUACAGGUGCUAUCAAGACAAGCUGAAUGUACAAAAUAGCAUGAUAUAGAAAAGCAGAUGAAUCCCAAUACUCAGAUCAUAGACUCAUAGACUUUAAGGUCAGAAGGGACCAUUAUGAUCAUCUGGUCUGACCUCCCGCAUCAUG